GGUGGUUGUUUCAGGUGCUGAGUAUAUCACUAGCUGCAUUAGGCUCUCUAAUGUGGCUCAGGAAAAACAAGCCCAAGACGUUGAUUCCUAUAAUAUAUGCUUGCGCAGGAAUAGUGGCGACAAUGCCAUCAAUUACAAGUUAUCUGAAACUUGGCUUGGGGUGGCACUUCCCAAAGGUGGUAGGUUUCGAGCUGUUCACUUCAGUGGUGAUGGCUUUCAUUAGCUGGCAGUUGUUUGCUGCAUGCCAGAGACCAUCAAACUGAGGAUCUUGAUAUGAGUCUUGUAGGAAAUUAUUUGACUUGAUCAAUUUGAGGCUACUGCUGUAGAAUUUGUUGUAAAACUCAACUUUUUUUGAGCCUGUUUGAGAAAUUCUAUACAUAGACACUACUUUUCUUA